rnacentral:lncRNA from 1 species
CAAGGAUUGGGAUAUAAACCCAGGCAUUCGAGCUGGCAACGGCAACCCCCUUUGGGUCUCCUCCCUUUGCAUAGGAGCUCUGUUUUCACUCUAUUAAGUCUUGCAACUGCACUCUUCUGGUCCGUGUUUCUUACCGCUUGAGCUGAGCUUUCCCUCACUGUCCACCACUGCUGUUUUGCCACCGUCACAGGCCCACCGCUGACUUCCAUUCUUCUGGAUCUAGCAGGCUGUCCACUGUGCUCCUGAUCCAGCGAGGCGCCCAUUGCCGCUCCCGAUUGGGCUAAAGGCUUGCCAUUGUUCCUGCAUGGCUACGUGCCUGGGUUCAUCCUAAUCAAGCCGAACACUAGUCACUGGGUUCCACGGUUCUCUUCCAUGACCCACGACUUCUAAUAGAACUAUAACACUCACCUCAUGGCCCAAGAUUCCAUUCCUUGGAAUCCAUGAGGCCAAGAACCCCAGGUCAGAGAACACGAGGCUUGCCACCAUCUUGGAAGUGGCCCCACCACCAUCUUGGGAGCUCUGGGAGCAAGGACCCCCGGUAACAUUUUGGCGACCACAAAGGGACAUCCAAAGUGGCUGAGAGGGUGAACCGCACAACCGUUCUUCCACCAUUCUCCAGUCUGCUCCUCCAAAAAAACUGUAUCCAAGUAUUUUUAAGAUCCAAUUCCUGCCACCCUUGAAAACACCAGCUUCAUGUGCUAUUGUUCCCCUGCCACAUGUAUCUUCAUUGUGGUGGAUACACCUUAAGAUAACUUUUAUUCACACAGAGAGACCUUCCUUCAGGACUUGAAGAAGCAAGUCAAGUUGUUACGAUGUGAAUGGAGAAGUCCACAUGUUGUUUACAUAAAAGAUGAAGAGACUUCAG